rnacentral:rRNA from 1 species
GACGAACGCUGGCGGCGUGCUUAACACAUGCAAGUCGAACGGAAAGGCCCUGCUUUUGUGGGGUGCUCGAGUUGCGAACGGGUGAGUAACACGUGAGUAACCUGCCCUUGACUUUGGGAUAACUUCAGGAAACUGGGUCUAAUACCGGAUAGGAUCUCCUGCUGCUUGGUGGGGGUUGGAAAGUUUCGGCGGUUGGGGAUGGACUCGCGGCUUAUCAGCUUGUUGGGGGGGUAGUGGCUUACCAAGGCUUUGACGGGUAGCCGGCCUGAGAGGGUGACCGGCCACAUUGGGACUGAGAUACGGCACAGACUACUACGGGAGGCAGGAGUGGGGAAUAUUGCACAAUGGGAGGAAGCCUGAUGCAGCAACGCCGCGUGCGGGAUGACGGCCUUCGGGUUGUAAACCGCUUUCGCCUGUGACGAAGCGUGAGUGACGGUAAUGGGUAAAGAAGCACCGGCUAACUACGUG